GUGCCAGCCGCCGCGGUAAUACGGAGGAUGCAAGCGUUAUCCGGAUUUAUUGGGUUUAAAGGGUGCGUAGGCGGAUGCCCAAGCGUGAGGUGAAAUCCCCGGGCUCAACCUGGGAACUGCCUCGCGAACUGGGUAUCUGGAAUGUCCGUGCCGUGGGAGGAAUGUGUGGUGUAGCGGUGAAAUGCAUAGAGAUCACACAGAACACCGAUUUGCGAAGGCAUCUCACGAACGGAUGAUUGACGCUGAGGCACGAAAGCGUGGGGAUCAAACAGGAUUAGAUACCCUGGUAGUCCACGCAGUAAACGAUGAUAACUAACCGCUGGGCAUUCGUGUUCAGUGGCCAAGCGAAAGCGAUAAGUUAUCCACCUGGGGAGUACGACCGCAAGGUUGAAACUCAAAGGAAUUGACGGCGGCCCGCACAAGCGGAGGAACAUGUGGUUUAAUUCGAUGAUACGCGAGGAACCUUACCCGGGCUCGAACGGCUGGUGAAGAGAUCCAGAGAUGGUGACGUCCUUCGGGACACCAGUCGAGGUGCUGCAUGGUUGUCGUCAGCUCGUGCCGUGAGGUGUCGGCUCAAGUGCCAUAACGAGCGCAACCCUUGUCGUCAGUUACCAUCAAGUUGUGUUGGGGACUCUGGCGAGACUGCCACCGCAAGGUGAGAGGAAGGGGGGGAUGACGUCAAAUCAGCACGGCCCUUACGUCCGGGGCGACACACGUGUUACAAUGGGGGUUACAGAGGGGCACUACCUGGUGACAGGAUGGGAAUCUCGAAAAGCCCUCUCAGUCCGGAUCGGAGUCUGCAACUCGACUCCGUGAAGCUGGAUUCGCUAGUAAUCGCGCAUCAGCCAUGGCGCGGUGAAUACGUUCCCGGGCCUUGUACACACCGCCCGU
rnacentral:rRNA from 1 species